CCGCCCAGCUAAUGCGCCUGCGCGAGAUUUGAAAAGGGGUCAAAGGUGGGCGAGAUUUUGAAAGGAGUGGGCGAGGAUUUGCUUUUCCCCCGCCGGGUCGGGGGCGCUUGUGUCUCGUAAGCUUGGGAGUUUCCCCGGUGGCAUCUGAAAGUUGGCGGCGCCUGGCACGGAGGGCAGGGAGGGGGCCGAAGAGAGCGAGCGAGCGAGCACUCCAGAAGGAGAGGAUAACCACUGGAGUCCACCAUGCUGGAGCCCCUGCUGGCUGGAGAGGAGAAGCAUGCUUGGUGUGCCAUCAACACCUCAAGAGUACUAUUGCAGUGAGCAAAGUAUGGAUGGCAAAGCCAGAUUCCUUGGGCCUGAGAUAAAACUAAGACACAGUGGGAUUAAGUGGCUUGCCCAGCUAGUAAGUAGCAGAGGUGGGAUUUGAACCCAGAUGGACAAUUGAGCAGCACAGUCCACAUUUGUAAUCAAGGCUCCAGCUGGCCUCUCCAAAGGCCUGUUGUGAAAUGAGCCAGUCUCUUCGUCGGUGCUCCCCCAGGGGAAAUUCUCAGAUUAAAAUGUGAGAAAUCCCUAUGUUGGCUGCUGCGUUAGUUACUGAGAGCUACUAUAACAAAUUACCACAAACCCAAUGGCUUAAAACAACAGAAAUUUAUUGUUUCCAUUCUGGAGUAAGAACUGAAACUAAGGUGUUGGCAAGGUUGGUCCUUUUGGAGGUUCUGAGGGAGAAUCUGCUCUGUGCCUUUCUCCUUGACUCUGCUGGUUUCAGGCAAUCCUUGGUGUUAUUUUGCUUGUAGACUCAUCACCCUGUCUCUGCCUCUGUCUCCUCAGGCACCCUCCUCUUUGUGUCCCUUCAGUUCUCACUCUCCUCAUCAGGGCAUCAAUCCUUGAUUUGGGGCCGGCUGUAAUCCAGCAUGACCUCAUUUAACUUAUCUGCAAAGUGCAUGUGUUAUCUGCAAAGACCCUAUUUCUAAAUAAGGUCACAUUCACAGGUACUGAGAAUUAGGACUUGAGUAGAUCUUUUUUUUUGCAGGGGGACAUCAUUCAACCAAACUCCAGUGGCAUGCUGAUAGGGCUUGAGUCUUGGUAACUCCCAGGCCUUGUUGGAAAUUUUGCCCCCCCUUUAUUUGGUUGUGUCUGGUUGCCAUGGAUCUUUAAAAUCCAUAUUUAAAUAUGUUUGUGUCCACUGAGGCUACAUAAUUAAACUCCAGAUCUGUUUCUAAAGGUUACCUUCCCCUUAAAAUCAAGCUACCAACCUGAUUGUGCAAAGCAGGAAACUAAGCAGGGAGACUGCCCCUUAGAGGAUCCCCAAGAACACUCUGUGCCGCUGCUCACGUGUUGACAAGGAGGAUGAAGCACUUCACAACUUAAUUCAACUCUAUUUUUCUUAAGUUUUAACAACCUACCGGAGUACAUCGUCAGGGGAUGUUAAAUCAAAAGCACAACUCUCCACGCCGUCUUUAAAUUUGAUGACCUUCGAGUAGACCCAGACAGGCAGCGCCAGAAUGAAGGAAGCUGCCCAAAGGCCCAAAUUGAUGCGGAUGGUCUUGUACCUCGUUCUCCAACUUGUAAGUCGAAAUGGUUGGACGAGAGCCAAGUACCUGCAAAGCCAGUUAAGAAGGGUUUGGGAACAAUCAAUAAAAGCACUGAGCUCCAAGGAUGAAAGGUUCAUGACAAGAGUAAAUUAUUAGUAUUAUUAUCUUCCCUGAAGCACACCUCUAUCAGGGUAAAAGAAAGUUAUAUUUUUUAAGAGCUGGCUGGUACCUGUAGAGAAAACAACUCUUGACCCUGCAAGUCUGAAUAAACCACUCACUGAAAUCGCUGUCAUUUCCACGAACACACUGAUAAUAGUGAAACUCUGCCCUGUGCAAACUCUCUCUUUGCGAAGGUGCUUCCCAUGUAGGCUAGGCUCUGGAAAACUUUGUCUCUGAGUGGGGGUUUCCUCCAGGAGGGAGAGGCCCUCUUUCCAGUAGGAUUUACUGACAGGGAGGCAGGAAGGAGGCCAGUGCACUGGCUAGUAGGAUCCCCUGGCAGGAUGAGGUUCUGGACCACUGGGACAGACGUUUUGCCCAGAUGGCCUUUUGGUGGGGGCCACCAGCUCCUGGAGGUUCAGGUCACAGAAGUUGCAGUGAGGAUAAACAGAUGUGGCUAGUACAGACAACGCAAAAUCCUCAGGGAACUUAGGCUGGAUGCCCGGGGGGGGAAAUGGGCUGAUUUCAUAGGGGAAGGGGCUUUCUUUCUUUUCAUUUUUUUUUUCCAUUUCUGAUCCAGUAAAAAAGGAUAAAUCGUUAAUUAAACUUGAAGUCCUGACAUAUCAAAUAUAUUUGGUUGUCUAGAAAAUCCAAGAAGAAUUUUUCAGAGCCAACUGAAAGCUAAAGGGUGAGAAAGAACCUAGAACCCAAGAGGAAGAGUAUUUGUGAGAGUGCAGUUUUGCUAGAGUUGCAGGUGUUGCAAGGCAGUAAUCACAGACAUUAAAUAAAUGCAAAACAUGUUCUGAUGGUCAUUUAAUUUUUAUAGAGCUACUUAAGGAAGAUUUAUAAAAAUUAAAAGAUUUCCUGUCCCUGUUCUUUCAAUUUUGUAUAAGAGACAGGACGUUUUAAAGGACACUUAGUUAAGGGACCCUUUGGCAUGCAGGGAGACACUUGUGGCCCAAGGUACCCCAGCCCCUCCUCCUUCUGCAUAUUGUACCUUCAUUACCUGUGGCUAAGGGGAGAAGGCCCUCUUCCCCUGCUGGGGAAAGAGAUGACGUGGUACUUGUACAACAGCCCAGCCGUCAUUCUGUCUGGGAUGAAAGGAUGAUGGAAUCAUGGCAUAAAGAGAUUAGGGAAUCUUCUCUAAUCCUCAUCCUAACACUCUCCUUUCCCCAUCUGAAAACCCUUCAAUGAUUUUCCAGCACCUUUGAAAUAAAAUUCAGAAUUCUUACCAUUAUUUGUAAAGUCUUUCUCUACCUGUCCCUCCCUGUCACUCAGGCUGUCGUUUGUGCCCGUCUCCCUGCUGGCCUUCCUUCAAGGUCUCUUCCCUUUCAGGGCCAGGUGCAUGCUGUCCUUUCUGCCGAGCAGAAGCUCCCUCUGAUUCAUCUUACUCUUCUGUUGAGUCUCUAUUUAACAGUCUGUGUCUCAGGAAAGCCUACCCUGAUCACUCACUGUCUAUAAUGGCCAAUGACUUUACAUGCAGAUUGUAGGGGAACUCUCCUUUUCCUUCCUAGUAUAUAUCAUUGUUUGGAAAUACACAUUUACCUGUGUGACUUUUCACUUAAUAUCUACAUCUUGGGAGUAGAAGCCCCACGAAGGCAGGAACCUUGACUAUCAGCUUAGUGCUGUUCUAUCAUCCUGUAUCCAGUGUAGUUCCUGGCCUGUAGUCUUACUCAAUAAAUAUUUGCUUAAUGAAUGAAUAACUAAAUAGGGAAUUUGGUUUCUACUUACUUUUGAUAUUCUAGAGAAUUUAUUUAUGAAAUUAGUCUAGGCAGCUUUCAUCUGGAGGCUUAUUUUUAAUAUUUUGGAUGUUUACAUAAUUUUUUUGGUAUGACUUGGAGGUAGGCACCCCCUAUUGAAAUAUUUCACACCUGUAGUUAUUACUAAUCAGAAAAAGAAAAAUGAAAAUUAUCAGAAACACUUGAAAUUUAUGUUCUAUUAAACUGGCAAUUAAAACCACUUAAAUGUAUAAGCAAUCAGGAUCACUGAUGGCACGGUCAUGGCCAAUACCGUAGUUAUGGCCUUGCAAAGAAAACUCCAUUUCUUUUUACAAAAUUGCAGAUAUUGGGGCACCUGGGUGGUUUGGUCAUCUGCUUUCAGCUCAGGUUAUGAUCCCAGGGUCCUGGGAUUGAGCCCAGCAUCAGUGUCCCAGCUCAGCAGGGAACUUGCUUCUCCCACUCCCUCUGCUGCUCCCCCUGCUUGAGCUUUCCCUCUCCCAAACAAAGAAAUAAAAUCUUAAACCCCCAAAUCGCAGAUAGUGAAGUUUUAUGCAUUUUGUACAGAUGGAACUGUAAGAAAUGCUGAAGAGGAAAAGAUUCAGGUUUACGGAAUCUUCACUUUUCUCUGGUGAUGGGAUCCUCUAGAGUGAGGGCCGAGCAAAGGAUAAGUGCCCAAGUGUCUUAAUACUAAAGUAAAAGUUUAGCAUACUGUGUCCAUUCGAUUUAAAAAAAAUGACAUUCAUAGGGCACCUGGGUGGCUCAGUCAGUUAAGUGUCUGCCUUUAGCUCAGGUCAUGAUCUCAGGGUCCUGGGAUGGAGCCCCAGGUCAGGCUCUCUGUUCAGCAGAGAGUCUGCUACUCCCUCUCCCUCUGUUCUCUCUCUCUCUCUAAGUAAAUAAAAAUCUUUUGAAAAAAUGACAUUCGGGUGUAUAAGAUACAUAUACACAUGAGCACAUAUACUCACAGAAAAGAACCCGGGAACCUUAGGAAAUGUGUACAGUUGGUCUGUUCCAACACAGACAAGGUCUAUUCACUUUAUUUUCAGUAAGAGGUUUACAGAAGACAUAUGACUUCCCUUCUUUUUUUUAAAAGCAUUCUUAAAAAUUUCAUUUAUUUAUUCAUGAAAGAAACACAGAGAGAGAGAGAGAGAGAGAGGUAAAGACACAGACAGAGGGAGAAGC